rnacentral:lncRNA from 1 species
CAUGCCUUUAUUCUCAAUAUUUGAGAAUAUAUUUUAUAACAUUAAUUUUAAGGAUGAUUCAAGAACAUAUAAUACUUGAAUAGAAAAGAAAAACUUAUCCUUUAUUGAUUAAAUCAAUAGUUUAAGUAUAAAUUUGUGUCAUAGAAUAAAAUAUGUCAGCCAACAAUUGACUUCUAGGACAUACAUCUAAUUGUUACAUCUUUCUUACUUGAACUCUUGUAUUAUGAUAAAGUUCUUAGAAC